rnacentral:lncRNA from 1 species
CCAGCUUCUCCAACGCCAGUGGAUUUUUGCAUCAACAGGAUUGGCGCUAGAGGAAAGGUCGGCUGUGUCUUCACAGUACCCUUGUUCUUAAAGGAGUACUCAAUGGGACCAUCUCCAAUCAUCUUCUCCGACAUCUCCUCCUCCGGUUGCCUGCCUGAUCUCCACUUGAUGCCUCCCUGAAGGGCAUCCACCAGGCGGUCAAUGGCCUCCAUAGCCAGAUCUUAGCGAGCUCCGCAAGCCCCAGCCUCAUCUUCGAUUUCCCCGACUCCUCCUCCGACGACGACGGUAGUCAGCAUAGAGCAGUUUGACCUGUUGGUUCAACAGGUCAGAGGCCUCAUCGAAGCAGUGCAGGCCAUGCAACAGCAGUCGCGGGCAUCGGUGCGGC